rnacentral:tRNA from 1 species
UCUAAUAUGGCAGAUUAGUGCAUUAGACUUAAACUCUAAAUAUAUAAUUAUUAUAAUUUUUAUUAGAA